CCUACGGGAGGCAGCAGUGAGGCAUAUUGGUCAAUGGGCGCGAGCCUGAACCAGCCAAGUAGCGUGAAGGAUGACUGCCCUACGGGUUGUAAACUUCUUUUAUAAAGGAAUAAAGUGAGGCACGUGUGCCUUUUUGUAUGUACUUUAUGAAUAAGGAUCGGCUACCUCCGUGCCAGCAGCCGCGGUAAGAAGGAGGAUCCGAGCGUUAUCCGGAUUUAUUGGGUUUAAAGGGAGCGUAGAUGGGUUGUUAAGUCAGUUGUGAAAGUUUGCGGCUCAACCGUAAAAUUGCAAUUGAUACUGGCAGCCUUGAGUACAGUUGAGGUAGGCAGAAUUCCUGGUGUAGCGGUGAAAUGCUUAGAUAUCACGAAGAACUCCGAUUGCGAAGGCAGCUUACUAAACUGCCACUGACAUUGAUGCUCGAAAGUGUGGGUAUCAAACAGGAUUAGAUACCCGUGUAGUC
rnacentral:rRNA from 1 species